UACGUAGGGUCCGAGCGUUGUCCGGAAUUAUUGGGCGUAAAGGGCUCGUAGGCGGUUUGUCACGUCGGGAGUGAAAACUCAGGGCUCAACCCUGAGCGUGCUUUCGAUACGGGCAGACUAGAGGUAUGCAGGGGAGAACGGAAUUCCUGGUGUAGCGGUGGAAUGCGCAGAUAUCAGGAGGAACACCGGUGGCGAAGGCGGUUCUCUGGGCAUUACCUGACGCUGAGGAGCGAAAGUGUGGGGAGCGAACAGG
rnacentral:rRNA from 1 species